UUUCUCAUUUUUUGGUUUUUUUUCCAUCCCAAUUUUCUCAUUUUUUUGCGUUUUUUUCCAUCCCAAUUUUCUCCUUUUUUUCCAUCCCAAUUUUCUCCUUUUUUGGUUUUUUUUUCCCUCCCAAUUUUCUCCUUUUUUGUUUUUUUUUCCCAUCCCAAUUUUCUCAUUUUUUGGGUUUUUUUCCAUCCCAAUUUUCUAAUUUUUUUUGUUUUUUUUCCACCCCAAUUUUCCCAUUUUUUGGGUUUUUUUCCAUCCCAAUUUUCUAAUUUUUUUGGGUUUUUUCCAUCCCAAUUUUCUCCUUUUUUGGGUUUUUUUUCCAUCCCAAUUUUCUCAUUUUUUUGGGUUUUUUUCCAUCCCAAUUUUCUCCUUUUUUUGGGGUUUGUUCAAUCCCAAUUUUCUCAUUUUUUUGGGUUUUUUUCCAUCCCAAUUUUCUCCUUUUUUUGGGGUUUGUUCAAUCCCAAAUUUCUCCUCUUUUUGGGGUUUAUUUCAUCCCAAUUUUCUCCUCUUUUUGGGGUUUGUUCCAUCCCAAAUUUUUCUGCUCUUUUGGGGUUAUUUCCAUCACAAUUUUCCC
rnacentral:lncRNA from 1 species